UGGGGAAUAUUGCACAAUGGAGGGAACUCUGAUGCAGCGACGCCGCGUGAGUGAUGAAGGAAUUCGUUUCGUAAAACUCUGUUCUAUGGGAAGAAAAGGACUGUACCAUAGGAGAAAGCUCCGGCUAAAUACGUGCCAGCAGCCGCGGUAAUACGUAUGGAGCGAGCGUUGUCCGGAAUUAUUGGGCGUAAAGGGUGCGCAGGCGGCUUUACAAGUUGGAUGUGAAAUAUUGUGGCUCAACCACAAACGUGCAUCCAAAACUGCAAAGCUUGAGUUAAGGAGAGGUAAGUGGAAUUCCUGGUGUAGCGGUGGAAUGCGUAGAUAUCAGGAGGAAUACCGGUGGCGAAGGCGACUUACUGGGCUCAUUCUGACGCUGAGGAACGAAAGCGUGGGUAGCAAACAGG
rnacentral:rRNA from 1 species